rnacentral:rRNA from 1 species
GGGGGGGGGGGGGGGGGGGGGGGGGGCGGGGGGGGGGGGGGGGGGGGGGGGGGCGGGGGUCUCGGGGGGAGGUGCGGCCGGGUGGGUGACGCGUAGGUACCCUGCCUGGUAGCGGGGGAGAACGAGUGGACACGAUAGCUACUACCGCAUAAGAGUAGCUGUUGCAUGCCAUUUGCUUAAAAGGUGCAAUUGCCUCACUACCAGAUGGACCUGCGUUGUCUUAGCUAGUUGGUGAGGUCACGGCGCACCACGGCCACGCUACGUAGCCGCCCGGCGAGGGUGGUCGGCCACACUGGGACUGAGAGACGGCCCAGACUCCGACGGGAGGCAGCAGGAGGGAAUCUUGGGCAAUGGACGGAAGUCUGACCGAGCAACGCCGCGUGAGUGAAGAAGGGUGUCGGAUCGGAAAGCUCUGUUGUAAGAGAAGAACGAGUGUGAGAGUGGAAAGUUCACACUGUGACGGUAUCUGACCAGAAAGGGACGGCUAACUACGUG